GGCCCAAGCGAUCGGUUGUGGCUUGUGGGGGUGGGGCCAUCUCCCUCCCUCCCUCUCUCUCUCUCGGGGACGGUGAAACGGCGCUGGAUGUCGCCCGGCGAGGAAUUGAGAUCCCAGCCGGUGGCAGAUCACAUCAUUAGGCAAUUAGCAACGCAUAAACAAAGGAUCCUGAGAUGAGCCGGAGGACCACCGCACCGCACCUACCCCCGGCCACCCGCGAUCAGGCCUCCUUGCCCUAUCCCAGAGAUUAUCCGCGUCAUCGCCCCUUGCCAUGGUUUCAACUGUGUACCAACGAGUGAUUCCAGGAAGACCUGAACUCGUGUGCCCCUCAAACACUUGCAGAGCCUGCCUGAUUGAAUUCGGGGUACAAAUGAGACCUAUUCAACUGAAGAGAACUGAUAGGGAGUACUCCUACACGGGAACCAGAGCGACCAAGAAACGAGAGUAACCAAGUCAAUGUAUUAAAACAAAAAAAAUAAACAUAUCAACAUCGACAUCCAAGUAGUACAGAACGGGACCGAUGUAGGGAGUAUAUAUAUUAUUUAGCUUGAACAAGGUUUCUGCACGCAAGCUAACAACACACUUAUCUGCACCUCAACCUGAAUGACAUCCAUGAGAUCAAAUCACAUCAAAUAUACAGAUGGCUACACAAAUGAC
rnacentral:lncRNA from 7 species